CUGGUCAGGAUUGAAUCCGGGAGACUGAAAGGGGCGGCGGUGGCGGGGAUGCGGAAAUGGCUUCUGACGUGCUAGGGAAACCUUGUGUGUAGCUGGUCCUGGUGAGCCCCUUCCUCUCAAACCUGGGAAUUUCUCCGGCCACUGUUUUGGGUGCACUCUGGAAGAAUGUGUGGACGGACAGCUGUUACUCUGGGAGCAGACCGUAUCCGCCGUGCCUGCGCUUAUCACAAUAAUCGAGGAGAAAGAAAGUAUCCUGAAUGGCAAAAUGCUGACAAAUACAGCCCCUCGUUCAAUAAGAGCCCACAAUCUAACAGUCCUGUGCUUCUCUCCCGGCAACAUUUUGAGAAGAAUGCCAAUUCUUCUGAGCGUAUCCUUGUAGCCAUGCGUUGGGGGCUAGUUCCAUCUUGGUUCAAGGAAGCUGACCCAUCUAAAAUGCAGUACAACACUUCCAAUUGUCGGAGUGAUACCAUGAUGGAGAAAUUCUGCUAUAAGGUACCUCUUUCAAAAGGUAAACGCUGUGUGGUGCUGGCCGAUGGCUACUAUGAAUGGCGACAACAUAAUGGACAAAAGCAGCCAUAUUUCAUUUACUUUGCCCAAACUGAGCAGGAAAUGUUCACCAAACCAGAAAUGGAAGAUGAGGUUGAAGAUUCAAAAGGGAGAAAGCUGCUUACCAUGGCUGGAAUUUUUGAUUGCUGGGAGCCCCAGAAUGGAGCAGAACCAUUGUACAGUUAUAGUAUCAUCACAGUAAAUGCAUCUGAAUGUGUAAGAUUCAUCCAUCACAGAAUGCCAGCUAUUCUGGAUGGGGACGAAGCAGUUAAAAAAUGGCUUGACUUUGCAGAAAUACCUGCAGAAGCAGCACUUCACCUUAUCCAGCCAACAGAAAACAUUGCCUUCCAUCCUGUGUCAACAAUAGUGAACAAUUCCCGAAAUAAUUCAUCAGAAUGCAUUUUACCUAUUGAAUUGGAUCCCAAAAAAAAUACUAAGAUUAAUGCAAGCAGCACAGUAAUGCUGAACUGGUUAAAAAACAAAGGCCCCAAGAAAAGUGAUAAGGAUGAAGACAAUUUACCAAAGUGGUCCAGCCAGUUCAUCCAGACAUCACCGUGUAAAAAAACUAGCAUGGACUUAAUGCACCAGUGGCUCAAAAAAGAUGGAGAACCUUCUGCAAAGCAAAUGAAAAAACAGUGAUAAUUUGGUUCUAUUGCUUAUUACCAAAGAGGGUCUUAUGUGUUGAGUUAUUGCAAUAUUUAGAUCUCCUGAUUUAGAUUGUAAUACAGGUAUAAUCUAUAAAUAAAUUAUAAGACUUCAGAUAUGCUUCCUUCCUGAUGCCGAGUAGAUGGGCUUUGACAUUAAACACUUAGUUUCUUUUAUCUGAAACAAAUAGGAUAUAUAGAUGUUAAGUGCAGCAUUGACUUGACCUUGCCAAUCUUGAAAAAGGCAAUAGCUUUCCAAAAUAUAUAAGUGAGGGAUUUAAUGUUUUUUUUUCUCCUCCAAGGACAGAAGCAGAGAUUUGGUUUGUCAUGGUUACCAUCAUUGUAUUCAUUCAAUUCACUUUGUGGAUUGCUUUGUCUUUUAUGGAAAAAAAUAGGCCACUGAAAAUAGGCCUGCUGAAGAUUUGUUGCUGCACAGUGAGAAUGAUAAUUUAUUUUGGUCUGAAACCAGUACAAAUUUUUGCCCUUUUUCAUCUGCUUUGGAAGAUGUGGAAUAUCAUCUGCAAUCAAUAUACAAAUAUAAUUCUUACUGGUUAAGAAGCUAUUCCAAGAGGAUGUUGUUUCACUAAUUUGGAUUUACUAUACGUUCCAAACCUUUGAUAGUAUUGUUCAACAAAUUCAUCAAAGCUAUAAUGAUCAGGCCACCACUGCAGUCAGUAUUUUGAAUAGGUGGUAAGAGAAUAGCAAGGAAGAAAGAAAGAACUUUAGUCUUGUUUUUUGGGGAAAGUGAAGAUAGGUAGUUGGCUGAUAACUGGAUAUUUAGG